rnacentral:rRNA from 1 species
CAACAGGGAUUGCCUUAGUAACGGCGAGUGAAGCGGCAACAGCUCAAAUUUGAAAUCUGGCCCUCGGGUCCGAAUUGUAAUUUGUAGAGGAUGAUUUUGGUGCGGUAUCUUCCGAGUUCCUUGGAACAGGACGCCUUAGAGGGUGAGAGCCCCGUACGGUUGAAUGCCUAGCCUCUGUAAAUCUCCUUCGACGAGUCGAGUAGUUUGGGAAUGCUGCUCUAAAUGGGAGGUAAAUUUCUUCUAAAGCUAAAUAUUGGCCAGAGACCGAUAGCGCACAAGUAGAGUGAUCGAAAGAUGAAAAGCACUUUGAAAAGAGGGUUAAAUAGCACGUGAAAUUGUUGAAAGGGAAGGAUUUGUGACCAGACUUUUUCUGGGCGGAUCAUCCGGGGUUCUCUCCGGUGCACUUUGCCCAGUAAAGGCCAGCAUCGAUUUUCGGCGGCGGAUAAAAGCAGUGGGAAUGUGGCUCCCUACGGGGAGUGUUAUAGCCCAUUGUAUAAUACGCUGCUGGGGAUCGAGGUACGCGCUUCUGCAAGGAUGCUGGCGUAAUGGUUAUCAAUCACCCGUCUUGAAACACGGACCAAGGAGUCGAACAUUUAUGCGAGUGUUUGGGUGUUAAACCCUCACGCGUAAUGAAAGUGAACGGAGGUGAGAGCCCGUACGGGUGCAUCAUCGACCGAUCCUGAAGUUUUCGGAUGGAUUUGAGUAAGAGCAUAACUGUUCGGACCCGAAAGAUGGUGAACUAUGCGUGGAUAGGGUGAAGCCAGAGGAAACUCUGGUGGAGGCUCGCAGCGGUUCUGACGUGCAAAUCGAUCGUCAAAUCUGCGCAUGGGGG